rnacentral:rRNA from 1 species
UACGGGGGGGGGCAAGCGUUUGUUCGGAAUUACUGGGCGUAAAGGGCGCGUAGGCGGUUGGAUAAGUCAGCUGUGAAAACCACGGGCUUAACUCGUGGCCUGCAGUUGAGACUGUCUGGCUUGAGUGUGGGAGAGGAGAGUGGAAUUCCUGGUGUAGCGGUGAAAUGCGUAGAUAUCAGGAGGAACACCAGUGGCGAAGGCGACUACCUGGCCUGUUCUUGACGCUGAGGCGCGAAAGCUAGGGGAGCAAACGGG